CGUUUACUAGGAUAUAGCUACAUAUCAUCGUUAUGGCUCUUCUAAAGAAAAUUCAGACACAAGCAAAAAUUGGUAACUGGUAGAUGACUUGGUGUUCAAAAUGGGUAAUUACUCAAGUGGCACUCAUUUUAUAUAAGAACUUGUCGAAUCUGCUUCUGUUAAAUACAUUGAAGUUAUUUAUUGCUAGCUAGAUGAAUGGACUGGGCUAACGGUUCAAGUGCUCAAUCUGUGCUCAUUCCGUUUGGUCAGUAGCGUUAACUUUGUGUUUUUGGACAUUAGAUUUGAAGAAAGUAUAACAUAUGCCACAGCAGUUCCAUUUAUACCCAUGAGAGAGUUCAACCAGCAGAUGGCAGUAGGAGUCUGAUGCUCGAGGGCCUUAGAUCACAGAGGUACAGACACUGACCUGCUAUUGACAUGAACAUGACAUGUCUACAGCCACCCAGUCGCCCACUCUCAGGGCGGAAGCAAUCCCGGCUUCCUCUGAAGUGCAGUAAAAGGGAAAUCGCUCCGUUUUUACUGCACGUCUAAGAGAGCACCAGCCGUCCCUAAGGGUUGUCAUUUUCCAGUUUGUGAGUGGGUGGCUGUCGGCUGCGGUUUGUCACACAGUGGACCUGGACUGAGACGUUCAAGGGUGUGAUGGUCCGUGUCUUCGGACCAGCCAAGGGAGGAAGACAUGCAGCCGUGGGGCCAAAGGUUCCUGUGGUCACACAUUCCUAAACUCCUCCAGCGCUGCCUACAGCUAUGACUAAAAUAUCAGAUCCAGUCAUGCAAACACUGUGGUCACAACAUCACGUUUCCAUUCACACAUAUUGAUGUUUAUGUUGUACUCCUGACUAGAUUGUUGUCCUAACCACCUGAGAAAUCAUUAUCCCCCCUUUUUUUUCUUUUUCUAAA